CAGCAGCCGCGGUAAAACAGAGGGUGCGAGCGUUAAUCGGAUUUACUGGGCGUAAAGCGUGCGUAGGCGGCUUUUUAAGUCGGAUGUGAAAUCCCUGAGCUUAACUUAGGAAUUGCAUUCGAUACUGGGAAGCUAGAGUAUGGGAGAGGAUGGUAGAAUUCCAGGUGUAGCGGUGAAAUGCGUAGAGAUCUGGAGGAAUACCGAUGGCGAAGGCAGCCAUCUGGCCUAAUACUGACGCUGAGGUACGAAAGCAUGGGGAGCAAACAGGAUUAGAUACCCGGGUAGUCCCUGUCUCUUAUAC
rnacentral:rRNA from 1 species